CGCCGGCCAAUGAGGGGGCGGGGAGAGGGCCGGGGCGGCGCGCGGGGCCGCGGCGGCGGCAGGGGGACGUGAGGCCCGUGAGGUUGGUUCCGGCGAUGUGGUGUCUCACAGAUGCUGCAAGGGGCUAAUAGUAACAGCUAGCUCUGUGCUUUUCUGGAUGUUCUGAUUAGCAAGACCAGCUGGGACAGAACUGCAAGUAAGAGGAGGAAUAACAAAGCAGCAGAAUGCAUCUGCUGUCUUUUGGUACGCAGUAGACACUUUAUAAACAAAACAAUCCUGGAACAGUUGAAGCCAAAAGAAACAGUGAAGUGGCAAGAGGAAACACAGCAGUAAGCACGAGCAACAACUGCAUGGGCAGAAGGCAACAAGGCCAAAUUGUUGAAUUGCACAUGCUUCUACCAAAGGCGCUAAAUGCUGCAAGCAGGCUGCAUAUCUCCCACCAGUGAACAGCUUGGGUUUGCAUUAGGCAGGUUUACCACUGCAUUUUUGUUUGUGGACUUAGAUUCAGUCUUACAUGUUAGAGACUGGUGUAUGCCCAAGCCACAUCUGAGACUAGAUGGAAUGAGACAUACAUUUUAGUUUGGAGAGGAGGGGUGGGAGUGAUAGGGAUCAGGUAGGUAAAACACCAAUGCGUGGCACCUCCCAUAGGACUUCAGGCUGUUGAGUGACACCUGCAUCAAGAUGGGUGUCACCCCAGCCUACCUGACAGCUGUGCAUCAGUGGGAGUAUUAGGAUUUCUUGAGGGUGAAGGAGACAGCAGUUCAGCAGAGCAUGCAGCAAGCUGAAAUCUGUGAAUGAACACAAUAGAUAAAUGCUUUGCUCACUCGAGUUGCCAGGUCACUGAGUAUCUCAUGUAGUAGCCAACUAGGGAGUAGAGUAAAUCCUGCCCUCUCCAUUUUCACAUCCUGGGCCAUGCUGCACAAUGUUAACAUCAUGAACAAAACUUCACUUUAUACACAGGUGACAGUGUCCAAUAAGAUGAGAAAUCACUCAAUAGAAUUUUAAAACUUGUGUGUAUAUACACACAUAGUGAAUAUAUAUAUAUAUUUCUAGUAAAUACAUAUGAACUUUUACACAACUAAAACCACUCCAGUAUAUACAUGAUAUACUCCUGUCACUCACCAGGACAAUACAUUUUGUUGCACUGACAGAAUCUGUUGCUAAGUUACCUUUUAAAUUACAAUUUUAAGUUAUGCAGAAUUGCUCAGUGAAAGGCCAGUCUUUGGCAAGCACAAAUAUGCAGAAAACCACCAGCUGCAGUAGUGAUCCUUCAGUAUUUGAAGGUACCCCCCCCAGUUUCCUUCAAAUGUCAACUCUGCUUUCACAGAAAUAAAUGGUUUCUAACAAUGUGCUACAACCCUGUUAAGCCAAGCAGGAUUUUUCUUCUAGUACAUAUAAAUAUUUCACAUCCUGUCUACACAUGCAAUACACUAAGUAAAAUCAUGUUUGCAGAUGACUGUAUUAUGAUUUGGCCCCAUAACUGUUUUAGUUAAGAAAAAAAAAAAAAUCCCAAACAAGACAACAAACAGAAAAAUGAACUCUCACAUAGACAUUAAAAAUCAGCAGACAGAGCUCUAGUGAUUUAGAUUUCCAAAGAAAAUACCUUUUAGUCUGCAGCUGUUAAGUUGAAGCACUGCAAAUAUAAGAAAUGAGGACAGAAAACUAAAAGAGCAAGAAUUACUUACUUGUCCCAGCUGAGACACACACAACGCUCAAAAACCCUUACGUGCUUUUUAAAAAUUUGUUUAAAUCACCUGUGUGAUGUCCUUAUUAAAUAUCAAAGUAGAUUAGCUUGAACAAGUCUAUUGGAAAAAGCACUACCUUAAAAAUUCGUAGUUCAAAGCCUUAUCUGAAAAGUAUUUUCAGAGAUUAAAUUCUACAUCUUUCAAUGACAUUGCAUUAUUCACAAAACCUUGCAUAAUGUUACAUUUUGAAAUACUGACACUGAUCGGCUGUCAAAGAAAACAGAGCAUGGUUGCAUAAUAGACACUCUAGACACUCAAGUAAAA